rnacentral:precursor_RNA from 1 species
CUCUAGUUGUUCUCUGCUCUCCUCACUUAUCUGACUCUGAAAUCUUCUAAAUGGUACCCACUUUAUUUAGAACGUUUUAGGGUCAAAUAAGUACAGGUUGGAAUCCUGAGUGCACCAC